rnacentral:rRNA from 1 species
UACGUAGGGUGCGAGCGUUAAUCGGAAUUACUGGGCGUAAAGCGUGCGCAGGCGGUUUUGUAAGACAGGCGUGAAAUCCCCGGGCUCAACCUGGGAAUUGCGCUUGUGACUGCAAGGCUAGAGUGCGUCAGAGGGGGGUAGAAUUCCACGUGUAGCAGUGAAAUGCGUAGAGAUGUGGAGGAAUACCGAUGGCGAAGGCAGCCCCCCGGGACGUGACUGACGCUCAUGCACGAAAGCGUGGGGAGCAAACAGG